UAUAUUUUCUCAUAUUAUUUAACUGUUUUAAAGUCAUUGCACAUAAAUCUAAAAAUACUGAGUAAAUUUUAAUCUAAAAUCUUAGUACGUUCACAUCCGCGUGACCGAAUCACAUGCCCGCGUUUUGGAUCCGAGACAGACGGUUGCGAUUGCCACACGUGCGAUUGGGAUUGUCACAAGUGGAUGCAAAGUUAAUGUGUACGGAGGACAACCACAGUGACACAGCGCAACACACCCUCAAGAUUCUGGUUGUACAUGGAGCUGAUGGAAAGGAUCCAGUGGAUGUAUCCAUUAUUCUUGAAGGCAAGGAGAUAUUGCCGGGAUGCCAAAAUACUGCUAAAGCUUGUGCCCUGCUUAUGGGAC
ensembl:lncRNA